rnacentral:tRNA from 1 species
CGGGGUGUGGCGCAGCUUGGUAGCGCGCUUCGUUCGGGACGAAGAGGUCGUGGGUUCGAAUCCCGCUACCCCGAC